rnacentral:tRNA from 1 species
GGAGGGUACAGCUCAGUGGUAGAGCACAAGCCUAGUAUGCACAAGGUCCUGGGUUCAAUCCCCAGGACCUCCA